rnacentral:rRNA from 1 species
GACGAACGCUGGCGGCGUGCCUAACACAUGCAAGUCGAACGGAAGCAAAGAUUUCGGUUUUUGCUUUAGUGGCGAACGGGUGAGUAACGCGUGAGGAACCUGCCUUUCAGUGGGGGACAACAGUUGGAAACGACUGCUAAUACCGCAUAAUGCUUUUGAGUGGCAUCACUUAAAAGCCAAAGAUUUAUUGCUGAAAGAUGGCCUCGCGUCUGAUUAGCUGGUUGGCGGGGUAACGGCCCACCAAGGCGACGAUCAGUAGCCGGUCUGAGAGGAUGAACGGCCACAUUGGGACUGAGAUACGGCCCAGACUCCUACGGGAGGCAGCAGUGGGGAAUAUUGGGCAAUGGGGGAAACCCUGACCCAGCAACGCCGCGUGAAGGAAGAAGGCCUUCGGGUUGUAAACUUCUUUUACCAGGGGCGAAAGAAAUGACGGUACCUGGAGAAAAAGCAACGGCUAACUACGUG